CGCGCCGGCCACAUGAUGGACCCGGACCUGGGUGCAUUGCACGGCUGCGUGGUCCAAGGGGAACAUCACCAGCAUAUCGCAGCAAUGACAAUUUGGAGGCCACACGAAGGCCGCGGUUCACAAUUGGAAUGGCAUUUCCUGUUGCCACAAAAUCAAACUUUUACUUGCUGCCUGGAUCAUUGAUUGGAUUACUCAGUCCGAUAUCUGCAGCCGAAUUCACGGGUUCCGAAAGUGUGAGUGCGAGUAUGUCUAAUAAGUGGUUUUUAUCACAGUUGACAAUGUUAACUUCAAAAACUGAAAACAACCAAGUCCAGUGAGUGCAAAAGGAAUGGAGAUGAUCGAUACGAGAAUAUACGAAAGGCCUCUUGAUGUUCGACUUGUAGCUAGAAAGGAUAGUCGAUGGAAAAUAUAAAUUAACUCACUUGCAAAAUCUUGUACGAAGCCGGCACUUAGCUUCACUUCUCAGAAAAUAAUUAUUACCUCCAUUUGUAGUAUAUUUUAUGUUAUAUUUAAUAACAUUUGUUUGGCUUUUUUUUCUCUUUUUUUCAAAAUAAAGAAAUUAUUUGCAUUUGUUUAGCAAUUUAGUUGGAGGGUAUCUAUGGAGCCAAAAACCAAAUCCUACAAAUAGUACUUUUCUAUAUUCAUAUCCAUAUACAUUUCUGAUUUGGUACCAAUUUAUAUAUAAAUAUGUAUUAUUCCAAAUAUAUAAUCUCAUUUAAAUUUAUUACUGAAAACGUCUUGAUAUUUGGACUAAUUUAAGCAGGAUUUCUUUGGCUUCGACCUAAAUAUUACCAGUCCAUGCAGCUUUUAAGAGUCGAUCGGAUAGCAACA